AUCUGUGGCCAUACCACUCCGAACGUGCCAGAUCUCAUCUGAUCUCAGAAGCUAAGCAGGGUCAGGCCUGGUUAGUACUUGGAUGGGAGAAAGUUUUAUUCAAGGUACUGAAAAAU
rnacentral:rRNA from 1 species